GGGGAAUCUUAGACAAUGGGGGCAACCCUGAUCUAGCCAUGCCGCGUGAUCGAUGAAGGCCUUAGGGUUGUAAAGAUCUUUCGCUGGGGAAGAUAAUGACGGUACCCAGUAAAGAAGCCCCGGCUAACUCCGUGCCAGCAGCCGCGGUAAUACGGAGGGGGCUAGCGUUGUUCGGAAUUACUGGGCGUAAAGCGCGCGUAGGCGGAUUGGAAAGUUGGGGGUGAAAUCCCGGGGCUCAACCCCGGAACUGCCUCCAAAACUAUCAGUCUGGAGUUCGAGAGAGGUGAGUGGAAUUGCGAGUGUAGAGGUGAAAUUCGUAGAUAUUCGCAGGAACACCAGUGGCGAAGGCGGCUCACUGGCUCGAUACUGACGCUGAGGUGCGAAAGUGUGGGGAGCAAAC
rnacentral:rRNA from 1 species